GAAUGAGUGUGGUGCAGUGGUUUGAGUGAUGGACUAUGGCUCUGGAGACCAGGGUUCAAAUCCCCGCUCAGUCA